AGAUAUAAAAACCUUGAGUCUAAUAUAUUAGACCAUACUAAUGAUGACGGUCAUGGAGUCUCUAAGAGUUUCUCACUAGAAAAUGCAGCCAGCUACAACACAGAUUCUCACCAUUUUUCCCGAUGCACUAAAAUCUGUAACAAAGAAAUAAGUAUUAUAUGCUACUGUGCUGCAAAGCAUGUCUUGGCUUUUGGACAAGAACUACUCUCCACAGAGUUCUGUUCUGCGUGAGCAACAUGUUCUCUAGAUCUUUCCCCAUCUUGAAAUUGAAGUUGGCCACAAUAUCUGAAACUUCAGUUCCCAUGAAGUGCCAAUGUCUUCCAGCAUUUUCACUAAAACUAACAUUUAAGGAAUUUGAGUCAACUUGGUGACUCAGCCUAGUACCUGGAAAAUUGAUUCAGUAAGGCCCCAAGUUGAGGCCAAUCUGGAAAACUCAGUGAUUAACCAAGAUGCUGUCAAAAAGAAAAGAAGGGCUUAGAACCUUGUUCAGGUCUAGGCCCUGGGUUUACCUCACCUUGUGAUAACAACAAAGAAACAAAUGUGAUGAAAUUUCUUAACCUUGUGGAGAAUAAUGAAGUGAUCUGUCCUGACACGGUAACAGAUGUUGAGAAGAAGGAGAUUCACAACUCUGUCCUCUUUUCAACACAUGAUUUUCACUACCUACCUGCUCCUAUGCAUGACAAAGGAAGCUGAGUUUCAGUGAAGCUGACUUUAAAAAUGACAGUGCACAGUGAAUAAGGAAGGACUGCGUGAUUUAUAUUUGAAAGUGUGGUUGUCCCAGAGAUCUGAAAGCAAGAGAGAGACACUGUCAGAAUUCCUGGGGUCAGUUUUCUUGAAGAGAAGAUGGACACUCACAAGACAGUUGAACUGCAAAUUCCAUCAUCUGACAAAUCCAGUUUCAUCUCUGUCAAUUCCCUCUUCAGUCAUGUCUGGAAUGAUGAUUCCCUGUUGUUUGCAGACUUUUGGACCCACAUUCGAAAAUCACUAGAGAUGUUUAAGUUUAGACCCAGCUUCCUGAUUCACGGGCACCAUGUGAGGUGCUGUGAACGGAUUGAUGUUGGGAACACUUGUGCAAGAUAUAAAAACCUUGACUCUAAUAUAUUAGACCAUACUAAUGAUGAUGGUCAUAGAGUCUCUAAGAGAUUCUCACUAGAAAACACUGCCUGCUACAAUACGGAUUCUCACCAUUUUUCCUGAUGCACUAAAAUCUGGAACAAAGAAAUGAGUAUUAUAUUCUACUGUGCUGCAAAGCAUGUCUUGGCUUUUGGACAAGAAUUACUCUCCAGAGAGUUCUGUUCUGCAUGAGCAACAUGUUCUCUAGAUCUUUCCCCAUCUUGAAGUUGAAGUUGGCCACAAUAUCUGAACCUUCAAUUCCCAUGAAGUGCCAAUGUCUUGCAGCAUUUCACUAAAACUAACAUUUAAGGAAUUUGAGUCAACUUGGUGACUCAGCCUAGUACCUGGAAAGUUGAUUCAUUAAGGCCCCAAGUUGAGGCCAAUCUGGAAAACUCAGUGAUUAACCAAGAUGCUGUC